UGUUUAAUAAAAUAUUUUGUGGCAAGUGAUAUAUACAUAAAUUAAAGUCAGAUCCAGAAAGUGACCAAAAUAAUAAUUUAUCGAAAUGCCUGAAGCUGAUUAUUUCAGAUAGUCUGGUUAUCGACUACAAUCUGGACGGAAGCAGCGGCAAAAAAUCUUUAAAAGCACGCAAAGGGCUAUAUGCGGUGCUUAACGGAGCGUUGACCCACCAAUCCGAAGACCCGAUAA